AAACAGAGGACAGUGGCGGACGGGUGAGUAACGCGUGAGGAACCUGCCUUUCAGAGGGGGACAACAGUUGGAAACGACUGCUAAUACCGCAUAAAACGUCAUGAUGGCAUCAUCGAGACGUCAAAGGAGCAAUCCGCUGAUAGAUGGCCUCGCGUCUGAUUAGAUAGUUGGUGAGGUAACGGCUCACCAAGUCGACGAUCAGUAGCCGGACUGAGAGGUUGAACGGCCACAUUGGGACUGAGACACGGCCCAGACUCC
rnacentral:rRNA from 1 species